AACUGGAAGCAACUUCUGGAUGGCAAGCGAACAUACCUCCGACCACCAAGGGGGCACCAUGUUGCUGCUGCAGGUGGAACCAGAAGAAGCAACCCCCCCCCCUGACGGACGUGGCUGCUGCACAUCUCAAGUGAGCAAAAUCUGUGUACGUGUACAUGCAAGACGCCUCUGUUGCUUGCUGUUGGUCCGCUGCGGUGCUGCAUUAUCCAGGACAGGACACGAUGCUGGUGUCUUUUCUGAUCAUUGAUUGGGACUAGGCCCAUGGUGGUGAGGGACUACUACGACGUGCUCGGCGUGAAGAAGGACGCUGACCAGGGUGAGAUCAAGAAGGCAUAUUACGCAGUAUGGCUCGUUACAAUUGGGUCUGGCACUUAUAUUGUAAUCUUUGGCUUGUCUAAGACUGAACUUCUGAAGGCUGCUUGUGGGUAGUAAUUUUACUUGGUAGAUGCUCGAGGCCAAAAACACACACAUUAUGUACUAAAUGUGGUUGCGUAAGCUCGUGCUUAGAAAUCAAAUCUUUUUGCUGCAAACAUUUUACAAUGGUACGAGAAGAAAUCUCUAGUGGAGCAAGCCUUUUUGCUACAAACAUUUUACAUUCCAAUGCUUGGUGGUAGCCACUGUCCAAAAAUAAACGAAUUGUUCAGA